GGACAGGUGUCCGAGUGGUCGAAGGAGCACGCCUGGAAAGUGUGUGUAUCGCAAGGUACCGAGGGUUCGAAUCCCUCCCUGUCCG
rfam:Spirochaetaceae bacterium 4572_7 ex4572_7_scaffold_10037, whole genome shotgun sequence.